CUCUUCCUUAGUAUAAAAAUUUCCUAUUUUUUUUUCUGAUAGAUAUAAGUGGAAUACCAGUAGACGCACCCACACUUUGAGAAAAAUUUUUUCUUAUAUAUGUGUUUGGGAAGAAAGUAGAGUCUUAAAAAAUGCAUCCAUUAUUGACCAUAGAGCACAAAAUUUGGGCAAGAAACUUCACCACUCUGGCCUCAGUCUCUACAUCUGUAACACAGAGAUAUGCGAUACCUACUAUUAGGAAAAUCUUCCAGAGCAGGAAAUAAGAGAGACAGAAGAUGAGCUUUGUGGAGAACCACUGAAGGAACCAAGGGCAGAAGGAAAGACAGAGAGACCUGCUAGAGGCCCCACAGUCGCCCCAGCAAGAGGAUGGAGGACAGAUGAGCAUGGGAGCAGGAACUGUGGAGACAGGAGGACUUCCUUCAGAUCAGCU